ACGGAAGGCAGCAGUGGGGAAUAUUGCACAAUGGGCGCAAGCCUGAUGCAGCAACGCCGCGUGAGGGAUGACGGUUUUCGGAUUGUAAACCUCUGUCUUUGGUGACGAAGAAGUGACGGUAGCCAAGGAGGAAGCCACGGCUAACUACGUGCCAGCAGCCGCGGUAAUACGUAGGUGGCAAGCGUUAUCCGGAAUUACUGGGUGUAAAGGGAGCGCAGGCGGGACAGCAAGUCAGCGGUGAAAUGUAUGGGCUCAACCCAUGAACUGCCGUUGAAACUGUUGUUCUUGAGUGGAGUAGAGGUAGGCGGAAUUCCGAGUGUAGCGGUGAAAUGCGUAGAUAUUAGGAGGAACAUCAGUGGCGAAGGCGGCUUACUGGGCUUUAACUGACGCUGAGGCUCGAAAGCGUGGGGAGCAAACAGGAUUAGAUACCCUGGUA
rnacentral:rRNA from 1 species